UCCACCACAACCUUGGCAAAGGGAUCGGGAAGUCCUGAGGGGAGGAAAAGAAAAAAAAAACUGGCAAAUGGCUCAGGAUGCUUUGAAGACCUGCAUCAUUGCACAAUUCACUUUUUAAUCUCUUAUUUCAAGUUGCCUUCUAUUCAUAAAUGAGCACCAUAUUUAAUGGAUGGGAACAACAUGACAUAUUAGGUACAGGGAAUGGUAAAUUAGCAGAUUAUUUCACUGAUAUGGACCAAGAAAAAGUUGUCUGAGUCAAACACAUUGGGGGAAAAAAAAUCUGAACAUCUUAAAUCUUCCUAAUUCAGGGCUCAAAAUCAGUGCUAAGAUGGUGUUGAACUGCCCAGCUGGGCAUGGAAAAGCAGCAGGAGCAGCCCAGAAUCAGCACAACCAACUGAUGGAUUCCACCCAGGGAUUCACUGACCCCAGGGAUGGUCCCACCACUGCUGCCCCCAGGUUUUUUGCACACAGUACUGCAAGAAAAACAGAAAUACAAAAUUAAGUUACUGGCUGCCAACUUGAAAAGAAGAAGUUACUUCACCUGUCCAGCAUUCCAGAAAAUCCUGCUCAAAAUAAAAUUAAUAUAAAUGAAAACUGUGCUCCUUCAUCAUUUAUAUUGUUCUACAGCCCAGCAAAAGCUUCCCUGAUCAUUAAAAGGAGAGUAUUAGGCAGCCAAGGCUUUUCUGUUAUCCUGCAUGGUAAUAAAUAAAAGGUUUUACCUGAAAAACAUCUGGGUGGAGCAGACUAACUUCUAAGGCCAGAGUUUUGAUGGUUCCAAAGAU